rnacentral:lncRNA from 1 species
CGCAUUCAUCACCUGCACCUACCUCGUUGAGGGGCAGGCGAGCCUGGGCAGCGAUCUCCUGGAAGGAGAGGCGGCUGCCCGGCCGCUGGAAGGCCAUCUCCAUCAGG